rnacentral:rRNA from 1 species
AGAGUUUGAUCCUGGCUCAGGAUGAACGCUGACAGAAUGCUUAACACAUGCAAGUCGACUCGAGAGUACUUCGGUACUGAUAGGGUGGCGCACGGGUGAGUAACACGUGAAUAACCUGCCUCUAAGACUGGGAUAACUAAUCGAAAGAUUAGCUAAUACCGGAUAAGCUCACGGCACUGCAUGGUGCAGGGAGAAAAACUAUAUGUACUUAGAGAGGGGUUCGCGUCCCAUUAGCUAGUUGGUGAGGUAAAGGCUCACCAAGGCGACGAUGGGUAGCCGGCCUGAGAGGGUGGACGGCCACAAGGGAACUGAGACACGGUCCUUACUCCUACGGGAGGCAGCAGUGGGGAAUAUUGGACAAUGGGCCACGAGCCUGAUCCAGCAAUUCUGUGUGGACGAUGAAGGUUUUCGGAUUGUAAAGUCCUUUCAGUAGGGAAGAAAAAAACGACGGUACCUACAGAAGAAGCACCGGCUAAUUAUGUGCCAGCAGCCGCGGUAAGACAUAAGGUGCGAGCGUUAUCCGGAAUCACUGGGCGUAAAGGGCAUCUAGGCGGUUUAUUAAGUCAGAGGUGAAAAGCCGAAGCUCAACUUUGGUCUUGCCUUUGAAACUGAUAGACUAGAAUACGGGAUAGGAGGGCGGAACUACAAGUGUAGAGGUGAAAUUCGUAGAUAUUUGUAGGAAUGCCGAUGACGAAGGUAGCUCUCUGGACCGAUAUUGACGCUGAAGUGCGAAAGCUAGGGUAGCAAACAGGAUUAGAUACCCUGGUAGUCCUAGCUGUAAACGAUGAUUACUGGGUGUGGGGGGUCGAACCUCUGUGCCGAAGCUAACGCGAUAAGUAAUCCGCCUGGGGAGUACGGUCGCAAGACUGAAACUCAAAGGAAUUGACGGGGACCCGCACAAGCGGUGGAGCAUGUGGUUUAAUUCGACGCAACGCGAGGAACCUUACCAGGUCUUGACAUCGUACAAAUCUUUUAGAGAUAGAAGAGUGCCGGCUUGCCGGAAUGUAUAGACAGGUGGUGCAUGGCUGUCGUCAGCUCGUGUCGUGAGAUGUUGGGUUAAGUCCCGCAACGAGCGCAACCCCUAUUGCCAGUUACCAUCAUUAAGUUGGGGACUCUGGCGAGACUGCCUGCGAUGAGCAGGAGGAAGGUGGGGAUGACGUCAAGUCAUCAUGCCCCUUAUGACCUGGGCUACACACGUGCUACAAUGGGUAUUACAGAGGGAAGCGAAGUGGUGACAUGGAGCAAAACUCAGAAAGGUACUCUUAGUUCGGAUUGUAGUCUGCAACUCGACUACAUGAAGCUGGAAUCGCUAGUAAUCGCAAAUCAGCUAUGUUGCGGUGAAUACGUUCUCGGGUCUUGUACACACCGCCCGUCACACCACGAGAGUUUAUUGCACCUGAAGUUACUGGCCCAACCUGCAAAGGAGGGAGGUACCUAAGGUGUGGUAGAUGAUUGGGGUGAAGUCGUAACAAGGUAGCCGUACCGGAAGGUGUGGCUG